AGAAAAGUAACCGCCGCCCCGCGCAGGGGCGACGCUAAUAGACCGACACGAUCACAGGUAUUUCAGAACCUGUCCGCAUUUUUGUGGGCGAGGCGGUUGAACAGCGCGUUAUCCGCGCGCCUGCGUGAAUCGC
rnacentral:sRNA from 1 species